rnacentral:misc_RNA from 1 species
UUUCCGUAGGUGAACCUGCGGAAGGAUCAUUAAAGAAUUUGCCCCGUCCUCUCGUGGAUGGGUCCUCUUCUAAACCGUGUAUACAUACCUUUGUUGCUUUGGCGGGCCGCCGUCGCGGCGUGGGCUUCGGCUGACUGUGCCCGCCAGAUAACAGCAACUCUUCUGUUUAGUAUUGUCUGGUUACUAUAGAAUAGUUAAAACUUUCAGCAACGGAUCUCUUGGUUCUG